ensembl:lncRNA
ACCAUAAGUCACUCUGUUUCCCUUUUAUUGUUUCGGAUACUUCACAUGACAUAUUACAUCAAUAUCUAAAUGAGUACAAAUGAGUAGACCAGCAGUAAGCAGACUCGAUAAACAAUUAAAAAGUAGUGCCAUAAAACACAAACUACGUACAACCUUUGAGAGUCUUUCAUGUUAUUACCAGGUGCAUUUGUAAAAACAGUUAUAUUUAUGCUCAUGUUAUGUCAGCAGAAUAAACACAGAGCUUCUCAGUGUACUUCAAUCCCAAAUAGUUACAGAUUAUCACCAGGGUCAUACAAUAGCUUUGAGAAAAGAACAAAAGUGAUAGUUAAAAUAUCAUAACAUUAUAAAUAUAUGAAAUAAAUAACAGGUUAAUAAGUUACAAUAAGGAUAAUAAAUUACGUUCCUUACAAUCCAUCAAGUUCGUAAAUAACUCACUAUGUGUACAACAUGUAAAUGUGGGUUCUUCUUAGUCUCUUGUUCCAGUCCACUUAAUAAUUCCACAGAACUGCUGUAACAACUGCAACAACUAAAUAGAAACUUGUCCUGUUGAUGACUGCAGAGGAAGCUGUGGUGGUGGUUGUUGUUGCAAAUGUAGACGGAGCUGCUGUUGUCAUUGCGGCUGCUGAUAUUGUUGUUGGGUUGGCUGUUGUUGCCGGUGCGGUUGGUGUUGUUGCAGCAGCAAUUGUCAUUGUUGCGGAUGAUGUUGUUGUAGGUGCUGUGGUUAUUUGUGGGGUGUUCGUGGUUGUUGACGGUGCUACUGUAGUUGUUGCAGCUGGCACAGUAGUUGUUGCGGCUGCUACUGUAGUUGCUGCGGGUGCAGCUGUAGUUGUUAGAGCUGCUGUAGUUGUGGCUGGGGCAUCUGUGGUGGCUGCUGCUCCUGCAGUUGUUGUGGUUGCUGCUGUUGUUGUCGGGUUUACUGUAGUUGUUGCGGCUGGUACCGUAGUUGUUGCGGCUACCACUGUAGUUGUAGCAGCUGCUACUGUAGUUGUAGCGGCUGCUACUGUAGUUGCUGCGGGUGCAGCUGUAGUUGUUAGAGCUGCUGUAGUUGUGGCUGGGGCAUGCUGUGGUGGUCGCUGCCACUGCAGUUGUUGUUGGGUUGGCUGUAGUUGUUGUGGCUACCACUGUAGUUGUUGCGGAUGCUGCUGUAGUUGUUUCAGCUGGUACUGUAGUUGCUGCUGCUGCAGUUGUUGAAGGUGCUGCUAUGGUUGUUGCAGCUGGUACUGUAGUUGUUGCUGCUGCUGCAGUUGUGCAGGUGCAGCUGUAGUUGUUAGAGCUGCUGUAGUUGUGGCUGGGGCAUCUGUGGUGGCUGCUGCUCCUGCAGUUGUUGUGGUUGCUGCUGUUGUUGUCGGGUUUACUGUAGUUGUUGCGGCUGGUACCGUAGUUGUUGCGGCUACCACUGUAGUUGUAGCAGCUGCUACUGUAGUUGUAGCGGCUGCUACUGUAGUUGCUGCGGGUGCAUCUGUAGUUGUUAGAGCUGCUGUAGUUGUGGCUGGGACAUCUGUGGUGGUCGCUGCCACUGAAGUUGUUGUUGGGUUGGCUGUAGUUGUUGUGGCUACCACUGUAGUUGUUGCGGAUGCUGCUGUAGUUGUUUCAGCUGGUACUGUAGUUGCUGCUGCUGCAGUUGUUGCAGAUGCUGCUAUGGUUGUUGCAGCUGGUACUGUAGUUGUUGCUGCUGCUGCAGUUGUUGCAGGUGCAGCUGUAGUUGUUAGAGCUGCUGUAGUUGUGGCUGGGGCAUCUGUGGUGGCUGCUUCUCCUGCAAUUGGUGUGGUUGCUGCUGUUGUUGGGUUUACUGUAGUUGUUGUGGCUGGUACCGUAGUUGUUGCGGCUACCACUGUUGUUGUUGUGGCUGCUACUGUAGUUGUAGCGGCUGCUACUGUAGUUGCUGCGGGUGCAGCUGUAGUUGUAAGAGCUGCUGUAGUUGUGGCUGGGGCAAUUGUUGUGGUCGCUGCUGCUGUUGUUGGGUUUGCUGUAGUUGUUGCGGCUGCUACUGUGGUUGUUGCAGCUGGUACUGUAGUGGUUGCAGCUGGUGGUGUAGUUGUUAGAGCUGCUGUAGUUGUGGCUGGGGCAUUUGUGGUGGUUGCUGCUGCUGCUGUUGUUGUUGGGUUUGCUGUAACUGUUGCGGCUGCUACUGUGGUUGUUGCGUCUGGUACUGUAGUCGUCGCGGCUGCUCCUGUAGUUACUGCAGAUGCUGCUGUAGUUGUUGCAGCUGGUACUGUAGUUGUUGCUGGUGCUGCAGUUGUUGCAGGUGCAGCUGUAGUUGUUGCGGCUGCAACUGAAGUCGUCGCGGCUGCUCCUGUAGUUAUUUCAGCUGGUACUGUAGUUGCUGCUGCUGCAGUUGUUGCGGAUGCUGCUGUAGUUGUUGCUGCUGCUGCAGUUGUUGCGGAUGCUGCUAUAGUUGUUGCAGCUGGUACUGCAGUUGUUGCAGAUGCUGAUGUAGAUGUUGCAGCUGGUACUGUAGUUGUUAAAGGUGCAGCUGUAGUUGUUGCGGCUGCAACUGAAGUCGUCACGGCUGCUCCAGUAGUUGUUGCGGAUGCUGCUGUAGUUGUUUCAGCUGGUACUGUAGUUGUUGCUGCUGCUGCAGUUGUUGGUAGGUUAGCUGUAGUUGUCGCGGAUGCUACUUUAGUUGUUCCAGCUGGUACUGUAGUUGUUGUGGCUGCCACUGUUGUUGCAGUUGCAGCUGUAGUUGUUAGAGCUGCUGUGGUGGUUGCUGCUGCUGGGUUGGCUGUGGUUGUUUCCGCUGCUACUGUAGUUGUUGCGGCUGGUACUGUAGUUGUUGUGGCUACCACUGUAGUUGUUGCGGCUGCUACUAUAGUUGUUGCAGGUGCAGCUGUAGUUGUUAGAGCUGCUGUAGUUGUGGCUGUGGCAUCUGUGGUGGCUGCUUCUCCUGCAAUUGGUGUGGUUGCUGCUGUUGUUGUUGGGGUUGCUGUAGUUGUUGCGGCUACCACUGCUGUUGUUGUGGCUGCUACUGUAGUUGUAUCGGCUGCUACUGUAGAUGCUGCGGAUGCAGCUGUAGUUGUAAGAGCUGCUGUAGUUGUUGGCUGGGGCAAAUGGUUGUGAUUGCUGCUGCUGUUGUUGUUGGGUUUGCUGUAGUUGUUGCGGCUGCUACUGUGGUUGUUGCGGCUGGUACUGUAGUGGUUGCAGCUGGUACUGUAGUUGUUGUGGCUGCCACUGUAGUUGUUACAGUUGGUACUGUAGUCGGUGCUGGUGCAGGUUUAGUUGUUAGAGCUGUUGUAGUUGUGGCUGGGUGCAUCUGUGGUGGUCGCUGCCACUGAAGUUGUUGUUGGGUUGACUGCAGUUGUUGUGGCUACCACGGUAGUUGUUGCGGAUGCUGAUGUAGUUGUUUCAGCUGGUACUGUAGUUGCUGCUGCUGCAGUUAUUGCGGAUGCUGCUGUAGUUGUUGCAGCUGGUACUGUAGUUGUUGCUGCAGUUGUUGCAGAUGCUGCAGUAGUUGUUUUAGCUGGUACUGUAGUUGUUGCUGCUGCUGCAGUUGUUGCAGGUGCAGCUGUAGUUGUUGGGGCUGCAACUGAAGUCGUCGCGGCUGCUCCUGUAGUUGUUGCGGAUGCUGCUGUAGUUGUUUCAGCUGGUCGUGUAGUUGUUGCUGCUGCUGCAGUUGUUGCGGAUGCUGCUGUAGUUGUUGGAGCUGGUACUGCAGUUGUUGCAGAUGCUGCUGUAGUUGUUGCAGCUGGUACUGUAGUUGUUUCUGCUGCUGCAGUUGUUGCAGGUGCAGCUGUAGUUGUUGCGGCUGCAACUGAAGUCGUCGCGGCUGCCGCUGCAGUUGUUGCGGAUGCUGCUGUAGUUGUUGCUGCUGCUGCAGUUGUUGCAGGUUCAGCUGUAGUUGUUGCUGCUGCUGCAGUUGUUGAAGGUGGAGCUGUAGUUGUUGCUGCUGCUGCAGUUGUUGCGGAUGCUGCUGUAGUUGUUGCGGAUGCUGCUGUAGUUGUUGCAGCUGGUACUGCAGUUGUUGCGGAUGCUGCUGUAGUUGUUGCAGCUGGUACUGUAGUUGUUGCUGCUGCUGCAGUUGUUGCAGGUGCAGCUGUAGUUUCAGCUGGUCGUGUAGUUGUUGCUGCUGCUGCAGUUGUUGCGGAUGCUGCUGUAGUUGUUGGAGCUGGUACUGCAGUUGUUGCAGAUGCUGCUGUAGUUUGUUGCAGCUGGUACUGUAGUUGUUUCUGCUGCUGCAGUUGUUGCAGGUGCAGCUGUAGUUGUUGCGGCUGCAAACUGAAGUCGUCGCGGCUGCUGCUGUAGUUGUUGCGGAUGCUGCUGUAGUUG